rnacentral:rRNA from 1 species
UACGAAGGGGGCUAGCGUUGCUCGGAAUCACUGGGCGUAAAGCGCACGUAGGCGGAUCUUUAAGUCAGGGGUGAAAUCCUGGAGCUCAACUCCAGAACUGCCUUUGAUACUGAGGAUCUUGAGUCCGGGAGAGGUGAGUGGAAUUCCGAGUGUAGAGGUGAAAUUCGUAGAUAUUCGCAAGAACACCAGUGGCGAAGGCGGCUCACUGGCCCGAUACUGACGCUGAGGCACGAAAGCGUGGGGAGCAAACAGG